AUUGAACGCUGGCGGCAGGCCUAACACAUGCAAGUCGAGCGGGUUUUCGGACCUAGCGGCGGACGGGUGAGUAAUGCGUAGGAAGCUGCCCGAUAGAGGGGGAUACCAGUUGGAAACGACUGUUAAUACCGCAUAAUGUCUACGGACCAAAGUGUGGGACCUUCGGGCCACAUGCUAUCGGAUGCGCCUACGUGGGAUUA
rnacentral:rRNA from 1 species